rnacentral:lncRNA from 1 species
AUCAACUAAAACGCCAGGCAGUGAAAACUCUGAAGAUAAAUGGAAGGAGGCUAUUUUGUGUCACAUCAUGGACGACGUCUCUUGGGAUUAUAUUUGAGCACAGGCCUCGAGAAGUAAGGGCUUGGAAGGCCUGCAGAUAUCUUGGGGAAGGAGUUCCUCCGUUUUAGGGGAAGUAGAAAGAGCCCAAGGUGAGAGUGUUCGGGGAACUUUAGGACCAAUAAGGCCAGUGUGACUGCAGAGGAAGGAGCACCAGGAAUGGCAGUAGGUGACGCCUUCAAAGAGGCAAAGGAAGCCCUUUCUGUGAAGUUUACGGCCCAGGGCAUUGUGCUUGACUCUGGGACUAUGGAGAUGAAUAGCUUAGAGUGUUUGACCCCACAUUAGCUCAGAAGACAGAUGUGACCCAAACUAACCAUACUGCGAUGAGGCAACAAGAUUUUAUCUUAUUCACUGAUAUGCCACACAGAUUCUCCAAACUGUUUGAAGCCAGUAAGAGAGAAGGAAGAAAAGACGAUUCUAGGAUGACACCAGAUUUCUGGUUUUGGUAGCUGCAUUGAAGGAAGCUAGUGCUUCAUACCUACUUUCCUUGGGGGAAAAUGAAUGAAAAAGAGACUGAAUUCAAUCUUGAACAUGAUGAGUUUGAGAUGCCCAGAGCAUCCAAGAUAUUGAAAGUUGGAGAUGUUGAGAAUCCAUGGGAUGGACCAGUCUGGAGCUGAAGAAGCCACUGGGAUUAGUACCCUGCAACGUUCAGAUGGUACAACUGAGGCUAUAUUGAGUAAGUGGUCUCACCACUUUGGUCUCAGGGCAGUCUAAGUCCUUGGAGUAGACAUGAUGGGACAGAAAGAACUACGAGGCAAAAAAGGCACUCUUUUCCAUGUCUAAUUCUACAACCUUAGACCACAUACAUUAGGAAUCAUUUUGCGAGCUGCUCUUGGAACUCACCAACCCCAAAUCAAAACAAAUGAGAAUUGCUGCCUGAAGAGUUAGUUGCCAUGUCAAGCCUACACAGCUCCAGGGGCAGGUUGCAAGCUGUUUACAGUCACUACUCGCUGCUGGCAUCUCCAGGCAGGCAUAGCUGUCCACAUAUUGUGCUGGCGCAUGUCACAUCGUAUCUGGGGUCUGAUUUGAGCAGCACACAUCCACAAUGGGAAAAUGAGGCUGGUCAGGUCCUACCCAUGGAGAUCAGAGUGAUCCAUGCCCACAUCUCCAGGAUGCUUUCAUCAUUGAGAGGAGAAAUUGUGCCUCUGCAUGAGGAGAGCGUCUUCAUAAUGUUACAUAGCACUUAGGAUCCAAGUUCUUAUUCAAUGGGUGUGCUUGAUUUCUGAGCCUGAGAAUUCCAUAACACCAUUGACACAGACUUGUGUUGAGAGUUUAUCAGACCCUCCACCUCCCAAUGCUCUUUGUUAUGAAGAAGGAUGCCAACUCUUCUCACCUGACAGCUGCCUCUAGAAAAUUCCUCUCCAAGCCUAUGUCUGUUUUCUAACCACUGACAACUACACCUGCUCUUUG